AUUGAACGCUGGCGGCAGGCUUAACACAUGCAAGUCGAGCGGGGUGAGGUGCUUCGGUACUGAUCCUAGCGGCGGACGGGUGAGUAAUGCUUAGGAAUCUGCCAUUUAGUGGGGGACAACAUUCCGAAAGGAAUGCUAAUACACCAUACGUCCUACGGGAGAAAGCAGGGGAUCUUCGGACCUUGCGCUAAAUGAUGAGCCUAAGUCGGAUUAGAUAGUUGGUGGGGUAAAGGCCUACCAAGGCGACGAUCUGUAGCGGGUCUGAGAGGAUGAUCCGCCACACUGGGACUGAGACACGGCCCAGACUCCUACGGGAGGCAGCAGUGGGGAAUAUUGGACAAUGGGCGGAAGCCUGAUCCAGCCAUGCCGCGUGUGUGAAGAAGGCCUUUUGGUUGUAAAGCACUUUAAGCGAGGAGGAGGCUACCUGGAUUAAUACUCUAGGAUAGUGGACGUUACUCGCAGAAUAAGCACCGGCUAACUCUGUGCCAGCCGCCGCCGUAA
rnacentral:rRNA from 1 species